rnacentral:lncRNA from 1 species
ACCAAAAAAACAAAAAAUUACCUAUAAAGUUUUUUGUUCCACAUGAUGUCCUUUGGAUGAGCUAAUGGCUAGCCUUAUGCCUUGCUCAGACAGCUGGGCCUCGUGGGAGCUGCUUAACUGACCCAUAGCCCAUUCCUUUGAAUUUCCCACUGGCGAUAGAUCUUAGCCGUACAGGAUAAAUUUAAUAUGUAGAAACACUGUAAAGACCUUAGGGUGUGAUAAAAAAGAAAAAUGUUUCCACUGAAUUUGGGGUUACCCAUUGCAAAUGAUAAAGAAGUAAGGCUUCUUAUGUGACCUAUAACAAACUGAAUCAAUAUGGGAAAUGCAUCACAAUGGUAACAUUGCUCAAAACAGAUGCAUAUAAUCGUACAAGCUGACUUCUGUAAGGACCAUACAACAGGCAUCCUUCGUGCUGUGCUAUUUAAAAACAAACAGACAAAAAACUUAGUACAAAGCUUUAGAAUCACCGCAUAGAAAAUGAAAAUCAAAACUUUAUUUGCGUGUGUGCAAAUAAAUUUAAAGCAAAUACCUGGGACCAAGAUUAAUAUCCUACGUAGUAACUAAAGUUAAAUUGGCAAGGAGAGGUAGCUAAGCAGUUAAGAGCACUGGCUGCUCUUGCAGAAGACCCAGGUUCAUUGCCAGCACCCACAUGGUACCUCACACCCACCUAUUACUACAGUUCCAGAGGAUCGGAUGAACUCUUCUAACCACCUUGGGCACCCAGCAUAGUGAACAUACAUUCGUGUAGGCAAAACUCUCAUGAAAUAAAACAAAUCUUUUUUUAAAUAUCUUAUUAAAUGUGCAGUGGCUGGGGAUGUAGCUCAGUGGUAGAAUGCCUGUGUAGUAAAUACAAAACCUUGGGUUCUGUCCUCAGCACAAAUAAAAUUGCCAAAUUUUUAACUUCUUCAAAAGCUUGUUCUCCAAGUCUUUGUUUUGAGUAAUAAAAUCUCUAAUCUUAACCUUCAUGUCACAUUUCUGGUGGCCUUACAGUGGCUUGCAUAUUAUAUGUGAAAAGCUCUCAAUGCUUUAAGAAGGAAGUACUUUGGGCUGGUGAGAUGGCUCAGUGGGUAAGAGCACCCGACUGCUCUUCCAAAGGUCCAAAGUUCAAAUCCCAGCAACCACAUGGUGGCUCACAACCAUCCGUAACGAGAUCUGACUCCCUCUUCUGGAAUGUCUGAAGACAGCUACAAUGUACUUACAUAUAAUAAAUAAAUAAAUCUUUAAAAAAAAAAAAAAAAAAAAAAAAAAAAGAAGGAAGUACUUUAGUACUUCACAAUGACUGAGCUUCUCCAUGUGAGGUAGGGUUGUGAGUCAGAAAGCAGGCUGCCAGGAACAAGUGAAGACCCCUGACUUGACCCUGUUUCCCCUGGGAAUGAAAAUCUGAUGGAGGAAACCUAAAAUUUGCAACUGUUGAAUUUCAUCUAAAAUUCAUUUUAAAUGUUCAUAUUUAUUGUACCUUUUCUAGCUCUGUAGGAUUUAUUUAACAUGACUUUUAAAAUUUUUAUUUUAAUGAACUUCUAUAGCACUGUAUGAGUAAUAAACAUUUGUUUCUACUUCCUUUUCUGACAGUAAGCACAUGUAUAAGUGUAAUGAAAAACAGAUUAAGGCUAUACAUAGGACUUUGUGUCUGACAUGUGUCAAUAUCUCUAAAAUAGGAAGUAGUAGACAAGGCCAGGGAAAUAUUUGACAGUAUUGGGAAGAGAGUUCUUUACAAUGUGAAAUAUCUUCUAAGAAUAAUGGCUUUUCAAUAGAGUAUUCAUUUAGGAAAUUGUUUUUUCUCUGAAGUUUACAGAAGCUAGUCUACCCUUUUCAUGGUGUUGAAAGGGUGUUCUAAACUUAUAUAUUUCAGUAUUAGCACAUCUUUAUUGAUUGACAACAGAGUACUCUACUGCUUUGAUAGAGUAAAUGGUAUCUC